UUUCUGGAGGUCCCUCCUUUGUGAAGUUUUUCCUUCAAACCAAGAUUAUUCUGAUACAGGUGAGGUUCAAAUCGCAGGACAAGAAGAGCAUACUCCAAAAAUAAAAGCAGACUUUGGCUCAUGCUGCCCAGCAAAUUCCUAUAUGAAAGCAGGAGGAUUUCAGUGUGAAUAUUUGGAAAAAUACUGGUAUAUAGAGGACAAAGGCCAUUCUUCUCUUCUGGAGAGUAGCAAGGCAAUAAAAAAGGCAAGUUUAUUUCUUGUGUAGU